rnacentral:rRNA from 1 species
UACCAGCACCCCGAGUGGUCGGGACGAUUAUUGGGCCUAAAGCAUCCGUAGCCGGUCCUACAAGUCUUCCGUUAAAUCCACCUGCUUAACAGAUGGGCUGCGGAAGAUACUAUAGGGCUAGGAGGCGGGAGAGGCAAGCGGUACUCAGUGGGUAGGGGUAAAAUCCUCUGAUCCACUGAAGACCACCAGUGGCGAAGGCGGCUUGCCAGAACGCGCUCGACGGUGAGGGAUGAAAGCUGGGGGGAGCAAACCGG